GGGCAGCUCUGGCCAGCAGCUCUUGGCCGUGUGGCUGGAGGCUGAAGUCCACGUAGGCCCCGGCGGGGAGCCGCUGGGGUGUAGACCGGGUGCCUUUGUCCAAGCCUGGCGCCACUGCCCAGACACUUUACUUCAAAUUUGGUUUUAUUUUCAUCACUGAUAUUGAUUAAAAUGACAUUUACUUGCCCAGAAAGUAAAAGAGGUCUUCAGCACAAAAUAUUGCUCCAACAAGCAAGCAUAAAUCACUGAGAUUGAAAUGUCAUCUAUCUUUAUUGGCCAACCACGUAAUCUCCAUGAAAAUUCUCAACAGAGAGCAAGGAACUCACUUUCUUCUAAGCAAUGACAAUUUGGAUUUGCCUCGUGGCACUGGCAUCUCUUCAUGUCUGGACGUCAGAUGUUAGCUUGGUGCCUUUCUCCCUUAUCAGGGGGACAUUUUGAACCCAGCCGCACCAAUGUUCUCAUGGAUGGU
rnacentral:lncRNA from 1 species